rnacentral:rRNA from 1 species
UGGGGGAGGCGGCAGUGCGGAGUUUCGACAAUGAGGGCAAACGUGAUCCACCCAUCCCGCGUGUGAGAUGAAGGCCUUCGGAUUGUAAAGCACUUUUGGCAGGGAAGAACAGCCUGGGAUAAUACCUUGGGCGAAUGACGGUACCUGCAGAAUAAGCACCGGCUAACUACGUGCCAGCAGCCGCGGUAAUACGUAGGGUGCAAGCGUUAAUCGGAAUUACUGGGCGUAAAGCGUGCGCAGGCGGUUCGGAAAGAAAGGUGUGAAAUCCCAGGGCUUAACCUUGGAACUGCACUUUUAACUCCCGAGCUAGAGUACGUCAGAGGGGGGUAGAAUUCCACGUGUAGCAGUGAAAUGCGUAGAGAUGUGGAGGAAUACCGAUGGCGAAGGCAGCCCCCUGGGAUGAUACUGACGCUCAUGCACGAAAGCGUGGGGAGCAAACAGGAUUAGAUACCCUGGUAGUC